AGCAGUCCAACUGCCUCAGCCUCCCAAAGAUUUGGGAUUACAGGCGUGAGCCAUCAGGCCGAGCAUUCAUACUUACUUUUGAAUAAUGAGUUUCGGAAACUAUAGAGAUUUAGCUACAAAGUUAAUUCUCCCUCAACACUUUACAAAAUAUUGCACCAAUACCUUCAAUUGUUCGUUGUUGAUUAUAAGGAAUCUGUCGUGACACGUACUUCAGAAUUCACAAGGCAACAGGAAAAAAAAAGGUUCAUGAGGGAAGAAAACCAAGUGAAUAACCCAGGAAAGUUGGUGAACUGUGACAUGUGUUGGACUCAUGUGAACCAUGAAUAUGUAUUACAGGGCUAGUAAAUCAAACCCCCAAAAACUUUCUCCACCGAACUUCACCUGUAACCUCUACCAUUUAAAGGAAUUUCCAUUUCUGUGAGGUUCCCAAGAUUUGCUAAACCUACCAGCCUGAUUCUCUCUCUGCAUCAUGUGGCUGCUGCAGGAAACUGGUGAGGGAUGGUGUCGACAAUUCGAGACUGUUUUUUCCUACCCUCUUUAGUGCCUCUUUCCCUGAUGUGAUGUUAAAACCAGCUGAAAUUGUGGAGCAGAAAUUGUGGAGAAGAUAAAAGCCAUGUCCCCUAUGCCAUGUUUAAAUUACCUCGUCCACAGAAUUCACAAGUAUAAUAAAAUUAUUGUUUUACAUCAAUAAGUUUUGGUUCUGACCAAAGUCAUUUGUUACUCUUUAUUAAUAACUGGAACAUGGUAACACAUAAGGAAAAUUUACUUUAUGAUUUUAAAGAAUAAAAGAAACUCAGCAUUGGUUAUCACACUACAGAUCACAAAACCCAAUCAGCCUCCUGAUGUUUGAAUUCCCUCUAAACAAAGUUGCUAGUCAUCAUCAUCCAUACCCGAUUCAUACACUUCCAGUUACUGAGAGUUUACUUAUUAUACAAGCUUUCAUA
rnacentral:lncRNA from 1 species